ACCAUGUUGUGGUUCGCAAGCGUGAUAAUUCAGUUUAUACGCUCACGUAUGAGACACACCUCCUUCAAAUCUUGUUAUGUCAUCACAUUAUCCAUCUGAUG
ensembl:snoRNA